rnacentral:rRNA from 1 species
CAUAUCAUACUCGCGCAUAGGCCUGGCUAGAACCCGUCGAUCGAUGUCCUCAACUGACUAUCGGUCGACGUAGGUUUAAAGGUGUAUCGGUCGACGUCCCAAUAGGACCAUCGAUCGACACUCUUUCGUUGUCAACAUACUAACCGUUGAGACACGACAUCUAGUUUGUAAACCAUUGAAACAUGCGACAGCUGAUCACUGAGUUAAGCGGUUGAGCUCUAACAUAUCAUGCAUGCAACAAAUAGGCAUCUAUAGAUAUUAUAAUCUCCAACACCUUAAUAGUGGCCCUGCGUCUAAUAUCAUUUCCAACCAAGUUAAAUUUACUAUUUAUUUCGCUUGUUACUAUUGCUAUUUAACUUAAAUAUUUACAACUCUUAGAACUAAUAAACACUAGAUUUAAUUGUUCCCUAGCUCCUUGUGGAUUCGAUCCCUAAGUACUACAUCUGAACCUCUUUUGAUGAGAGUAACCUCUUUGAUGAGCCCCAACCGCCAGUCUAUGGUGCGAUUCGAACCGACCGUCUAACCGACCAGUCUCUAGGUUAGGGGUUUGGUUAUGACCGGCCAAGUCUAGGGACGUGUCCCUUCGACUGAACCAACACAAUCCUUCGUGUAUAAUCAGAAAGAAGAGAAAGGACCGGAUAGAAACAAGAAGAGGAGAACCGGUUAGGUUUAAUGAACCGACCAGAGCCGCGGUGCGAUCACAUGGACCGUCCAUUCGGUCUGAUGCGGCCAUAGCCCACCACGUACCUUCUGAACCAUGUCAGGGUUCUCCAUGUUCUUCUCCUGCUCUCGGUCCCCCAUACUUGAUCGGAGGUUGCUUCUCAAACGAUCAGAUCGCCAGAAACCUAACCACCACACAAAUGGCCUUGCUUUGGCCGGAAACUCUCUCUCUCUUUCUUUCUCUCUCUCUCUAUAAUUUCUCUGAGUAUUUUUACUCUGAAUUGGAUGAAUGAAAUCGACAGAGAGGACCCCAUAUUUAUAGAAAACGAGGGGGUAAGUCUUACCCCACAAACAGGCAUGACUGGCCAGCGGAUGGGCACAAUCGGCCAAGGGUUACACCCUCUCGGCCGCAUGAGUCCCUUCGCCAAUACCGCAUGGGUUUGGGUCGGACAGAGGCCCAAGCCUUACCCAACCCCUCUGGACUUAGCCCACGGCCUUGUCCCAAGCCCCAACGGUCCAUGACAUCAUGGCCGGACCCCAAUGGCCCAUCACCAGCCCGGACCCGGACCAUCGGACCGAAACCCGAACAGCCUGUCCAGCUGAGAUGAGCAGACCCCCAGCUGCCUCAGCUGAGUGAGCUAGUAGUCCAGCUAGUGGAGCUGACAUUGUAGUGGCCGAGCUGGAGUGAGCUUAACCUAACUUCGUUGAGCUGGUCGAGCUACCGGUUCCAUCCGUCCAGCUACCGUCUUGCUCGGUCUAGCUGACUGUCGACUUGCAUGAGGUUAAGUCUAAGUUUCCUUACGUCCUUAACCUUCUUAUCCGGCCAUUGAACGCUUGCCUUGAUGUCCUAAGACUGGCUAACAGCAUGCACACCCUGGAAACGGCUCAGCCGGAGGUAGGGUCCAGCGGCUGGAAGAGCACCGCACGUCGCGUGGUGUUCGGUGCAUUCCCGGCGGCCCUUGAAAAUCCGGAGGACCGAGUGCCGCUCACGCCCGGUCGUACUCAUAACCGCAUCAGGUCUCCAAGGGGAACAACCUCUGGUCGAUGGAACAAUAUAGGCAAGGGAAGUUGGCAAAAUGGAUCCGUAACUUUGGGAAAAGGAUUGGCUCUGAGGGCUGGGCUCGGGGGUCCCAGUUCCGAACCCGUCGACUGUUGGCGGGCUGCUUGAGCUGCUAACGUGGCGAGACCGGACCGCCUCAUAUCGGCCAGGGGACGGACUGGGAACGGCUCUUUCAGGAUCUUUCCCCGGGCGUCGAACAGCCAACUCAGAACUGGUACGGACAAGGGGAAUCCUACUGUUUAAUUAAAAACAAAACUAUGACUCUCUUAAGGUAGCCAAAUUCCUCGUCAUCUAAUUAGUGACGCGCAUGAAUGGAUAAACGAGAUUCCCACUGUCCCUGUCUACUAUCCAGCGAAACCACAGCCAAGGGCACAGGCUUGGCAUAAUCAGCGGGGAAAGAAGACCCUGUUGAGCUUGACUCUAGUCCGACGUUGUGAAAUGACUUGAGAGGUGUAGAAUAAGUGGGAACUCCGGCACAAGUGAACUACCACUACUUUUAAUGUUAUUUUACUUACUCCGUGAAUCGGAGGCGGGGUAACAACCCCUUCUUUUAGACCCAAGAAUCGCUUUGGCGGGUCAAUCCGGGCGGAGGACAUUGUCAGGUGGGGAGUUUGGCUGGGGCGGCACAUCUGUUAAAUGAUAACGUAGGUUUCCUAAGAUGAGCUCAACGAGAACAGAAAUCUCGUGUGGAACAAAAGGGUAAAAUCUCGUUUGAUUCUGAUUUUCAGUACGAAUACAAACCGUGAAAGCGUGGCUUGUGGCAGCCAAGCGUUCAUAGCGACGUUGCUUUUUGAUCCUUCGAUGUUGGCUCUUCCUAUCAUUGUGAAGUAGAAUUCACCAAGUGUUGGAUUGUUCACCCACCAAUAGGGAACGUGAGCUGGGUUUAGACCGUCGUGAGACAGGUUACUCUUACCCUACUGAUGCCCGCGUCGCAAUAGUAAUUCAACCUAGUACGAGAGGAACCGUUGAUUCGCACAAUUGGUCAUCGCACUUGGUUGAAAAGCCAGUGGCGCGAAGCUACCGUGCGCGGGAUUAUGACUGAACACCUCUAAGUCAGAAUCUGGGCUAGAAGCGACGCAUGAGCCCGCCGCCCGAUUGCCGACCCUCAGUAUGAGCUUCGGAUCCCAAAGCACGUGCAUUAGCUAAGUCUGUUCGGUGGAAGCGUCGUUUGGACCGCCUUGAAUUAUAAUUACCACUGAGCAGC